rnacentral:rRNA from 1 species
UACGUAGGGUGCAAGCGUUGUCCGGAAUUAUUGGGCGUAAAGAGCUCGUAGGCGGUCUGUCGCGUCGGCUGUGAAAUCCCGAGGCUCAACCUCGGGUCUGCAGUCGAUACGGGCAAACUUGAGUGUUGCAGGGGAGACUGGAAUUCCUGGUGUAGCGGUGAAAAUGGCCGCCAGAUAUCAAGGGAGGGAACACCGGUGGCGAAGGCGG